GCACAACUCAAGCAUAGCUUGGUGAUGGGCGCCUGUCCCCCGUGCUUUGCGGCGGGACUCGCCUGAAAAGCAUCGGCGUCCGGCGGCUGGUCUUGCGCGUAGCAGAUUGUUCGCACAAGGGCCGGCCUGCAGGGCUGCCGCAUACGUCAAUUGCAUCUCGUA
rnacentral:misc_RNA from 1 species